rnacentral:rRNA from 1 species
GAUGAACGCUGGCGGCGUGCUUAACACAUGCAAGUCGAACGGAAAGGCCCCAGCUUGCUGGGGUACUCGAGUGGCGAACGGGUGAGUAACACGUGGGUGAUCUGCCCUGCACUUUGGGAUAAGCUUGGGAAACUGGGUCUAAUACCGAAUAUGACCACUUCUUGGAUGUUGUGGUGGAAAGCUUUUGCGGUGGGGGAUGAGCCUGCGGCCUAUCAGCUUGUUGGGGGGGUAAUGGCCUACCAAGGCGGCGACGGGUAUCCGGCCUGAGAGGGGGUACGGGAACAUUGGGACUGAGAUACGGCCCAGACUCCUACGGGAGGCAGCAGUGGGGAAUAUUGCACAAUGGGCGCAAGCCUGAUGCAGCGACGCCGCGUGGGGGAUGAAGGCCUUCGGGUUGUAAACUCCUUUCGCUAUCGACGAAGCCACUUGUGGUGACGGUAGGUAGAUAAGAAGCACCGGCUAACUACGUGCCAGCCGCCGCGGUAA